UAGGGAAUAUUAGAAAUGGACGAAAGUCUGAUCUAGCAACACCGCGUGUGCGAAGAAGGCCUUCGGGUCGUAAAGCACUUUUUGGAAGGAAUAGGAAGGAAUGUACUUCCAGAAUAAGUCUCGGCUAACUACGUGCCAGCAGCCGCGGUAACACGUAGGAGGCAAACGUUAUCCGGAUUUACUGGGCGUAAAGCGCGUGUAGGUGGUUCUGUAAGUAGGGCGUGAAAGCUCCCGGCUCAACUGGGAGAUGCCGUUCUAAACUGCAGAGCUAGAGGAUGGUAGAGGGAGGUGGAAUUCCAGGUGUAGCGGUGGAAUGCGCAGAUAUCUGGAGGAACACCAGUGGCGAAGGCGGCCUCCUGGACCAUUCCUGACACUCAGACACGAAAGCUAGGGUAGCAAACGG
rnacentral:rRNA from 1 species